CCAGCCGGGCGCUCCUCCCAAGACAAGUUCCUCUGGCCCCUGACCAGUGCCAGACAAGUCAGUGCACACAGCGCCUGGCUUCAGUGACGCCUACCUCUCUGCAGUGGCCUCUCCGGGCUCCCAUGGCCCCCGCAUCCACUGUGAACCCUCCAAUGACAGGGCAGUAACAGCCAAGAAGGUGGAGAUUCUAGAGGACCGAGUCAGCAGGAGGUGGAGGGGAAGAAAAAGGGGAGGGGAGUGGGCAGUCUCCAGCAAGGGGACCCGCCCCAACGAGUGUGGCACUGGUGUGGGGAGGAAAACCCUGAGUUCGCCUGGGGUGCACUGAGCCACAAGUGCCCACGUCACCCCCACAGCCGCUCCUUCUCCUAAAAGUAGAUCCAGCUGAGGCCCGCAGGCACCGGCCCUGGGCCCUCCCCCUUCUUUCUUCUGUGCUUCCGUGAAUCCCAAGAUUGCAUGAGCCCCGGAGGCACGAGCCCUGUAGAAUGAACCUUCAUCCAAGGCCAGCCUCCAGCUGCUGUCUUGUCUUCCAUGGUGCCCAGGAGCUGCACAGACUUGGGGUUUAUGAGCCGUAUCACUCAGCUGACCUGCACGCUUCUCGCUCCAGUGCUCUGGGUCAAGGUGAUUCUCCAACAAACACACGAGCUUCCAAGCACCCGCAGUGGAUCGCUUACCUUGUGACACACCCCACUGUGGCAUCUGGAGCAGGAGAGUGAGAUCUUAGUGCUACUGCGUCCCCCGGAUCCUCGGGGGCUCCACAUACAAGCUCGGCAAUGCAGGAUGACGAUGGGGUUAAGAGGGAUCUGAUGGGUUCCUUCAGGGCCUGAUAACAGGUGCCCAACUGCAGCAAAGCCACCGUGACGACACUCAAGUGACUCCUGAAGACCGUUCUCCUCUCAUGCCAACCCUCUGAUCGACGCAUCCUCUUGCCCUGGGCUUUAGGGUUAAAAUCCUCAGAUCUUUCUUGGUCUGCAGCCUGCCUCUCAAAUGUGACCUGUCCCGAUGUCCCUUGAGAAACGUGAGACCGCAUGGACAUGUCACAAAGUCUUGUCUCUCCAGUGUGUGGCCACGUCACCUCCGCGGUCUCUGCCUCUGUGCACUGUCCCUGGGCCACACUGCAGUCCCACCAGCCGACUCACGUGGCUUCCCCUGCCCUUCCUCACUGUGUGGUGAUACCACUGUCCACACGCCUCACCUGCCCUUCUCAUGAGCUCAUCCCUGCCUGUUCCAGGGGAACUCUUCGACCAAACCUUAUUCAGUCGCCCCACAUCUAUUUGCUGAGUAUGUGUGGGUGCCAGGAACUGGUCAAAGCCCUGAAGUUCCAGGGGUAAGCGAGACAGACAGAAGGUGCCCGCUUCCCAUGAAAUAUGCACUCUAUCCGUGAACAAGCAAACAAGGAAGCCCCCCGAGGGUCCUGGAAAACAGACACUGCAGACGGAGCAGUCAGACUGCACCUCUCUGACGGCUCAGACAGAGCCCGUGGACCUCAGGGUGCAGCCGCACACCCUGGGGCUCCUCCUGCAGGGGUGUGGACAGCUCUGCCUCCUGUGGAAGAGAGGGUGCAGGGUGCCAGGGGACAGAAAAACCUGACAGCAUGUUGCUGACAAGGCACAGACUGGAAAUGCUGACCACGCAGGCCGUUAAGUCGGCCAAGGGGCAGAGAGAAGUGGCUGGGUCAGGUCCUGCCGGGAAUACCGUAGAGGAAGCUGUGGAUGGACACAGCACUGGCUGUGGGAGAGGAACUGGACCUCAGCUGCUGCCUGAAAAAAUUGUAAGGGAAGAAAACAGGAGGAGGAAGGCUCCUUGGAGCGGGCCAGCAGGCCAACCGGAAGUCGUGCUCUGUCCAUGGACAGUACUGCAGGGGACCCCGGAAGGAGCCAUCAGUGUGGGCACCACAGAGCCUCUCAUCCGUCUCCUUUGCAGCCUUAACCCACGCACCACCCUUUGGCUUUCCUCUCAAAGCACACGGCUCCUCCUCUUUGAGCAACUUCUCCUCCUUCCCACUCAGAUCACAGCCACCUAGGGAACCCUGAGGUUCCACCGCGCAGUGUCACGGGCCAGCCUGGUCCCAGGGACAGCGAGGGCCAGGGCUCGGGCUGCCAUCCAGGGAGCUCCAGGCAGCUUCCAGACACCGCUGCAGCUUGGUGACCAAGUGCCAUGGAAAUGCUGUGGGGUGACAGAGCUCUCCAGGACACACAGCAGCAGUGUGCAGCUGAGCACUUGGCACAUCCAGUGUCAGCAGGCAGGAAGCAGGGAGCCAGCGCUGGAGGAGCAAAGAGGCGCCCUGCUGAGUUCAGACGCCAGGGGAAGAGGCCGCCUCGGUGCGCUCUCUGCCACAUGAGGAUCUGGACUCCAAACUAACGGCAGAAGGAGCUGCACAUCAUCAGAGCAGGAAUUAACCUGCAUGUCACCUAGGAGACUCCAAGGCUCAGAGGGCUGAAGGGUCUUCCUUAAAGACAGGACUGGUCAGCAGUCCAAUCUUACGAUGUGAUGUGAGCUAGCAGUGGCCAUGCCUCCCAGGAAGAGAAGAGAAAAGACGCUAACGCCUUCCUGUGAGCCAGUGCUGGUUGUGGGCCAAGGCAGCACAAGGGAGCCAGCAGCAGCCAUGUAUCCCAGGAAGAGAACCAAGAAAAAGCCAACCCCUUCCUGUGAGUCAGCCAGCAUGCGGGCUGGGAGACAAGAGGUGCUGAGACCAGCCCCAGCCUGCACCAGGCAAUUGGCCGAUUUGGAGAAGCACAGACUAAGAAGAUAGUUACUGAAGUAAAAAAACAAAACGAAACUUAAUGUCUGCAUUGUUUGACUGACUUCAUAGGUUAAAGGCCAGCAGUCUGAGCAUCUAUUUAGAGGACAACAAUAUGCAGUGUAGCAUCUAUCAGGGAUCUUCUUCUGAGGGUGGUGGCCAUUGUUAAUUCCCUAUUUGAAGUCCUGUAUCAUUAUCAUUGUUUUGUUUUGAUUGCUUUUAUUCUGUUCUGUGUUGCUUUAUUAUGUCUGAUGGUAUGGGCAGCUAUUUUGAAGACAACAAGAAGCAUUAUGGUACCCGUUGUUGACUUCCUGUUACCUUAUUUUGAAGUCCUGUAUCAUUUUCACUGUUUGUUUGUGGUACUUUUCAGGGGAGCCCUGGUCCUUACUUUACCCUUUCCUGGGCUCCGGAGGGGAAGAUGUGUGCUGUUUAACCUCCAGGAGAAGCUUGUCACCCGGGCUUCCUGGUGGGGACUCAGCCGUUAUCAUCGAGGAGCUCAGAACCUCCCUGUCACUGAGCACUGCUGUGGUACUUUUCAGGGGAGCCCUGGUCCUCACUUUGAGCGCUGCUUCUUGGCUCCAGUGAGGAACCCUCAACCCACUGGCACAGACUUUCUAGCUGCCACUGCUGACCGCUGGGCCUUCCCAGCGCAGAUCCAUAAAACAGACUGGCGUGAGUCACUGUUGUGGGCUCUAGGCCUCCCGGGGACCCCUGGGAGCACUGUCAUGGGCUCUAGGUCUUCAGCUGGACUCAUGCAGGACACUGCUGUGGGAUCCAGGCCCUCAGCGGGAUUUUCUAGGUUUUUAGUGUUGAGGACAGACUUCCUGCACUUUCCUGUGUUUGACUCUGGGCGACCACCCUAAAAUAGUAUUAUAAAUUCCGUGUCCUGUGCGGUCUUGUUCUCCUUCCAAGCCCUGAUGACAACGACCUGAUGUGCAGAGGGGAUUUUCCUCAGCACGUGGCUGAAAAUAUCCCACGUGUCCAUCAGAGUCGACACUCACAGGCUCAGUGUGCCCCUUCCGGCAGAACAGUUCUGGGGUGCUCCCGAAAGACGGCUGCUGCUCCUGUUAAUGCAGAGCCGAGGCGCUCGCGCUGCGCACAGCCGUGGGUCCGGCUUCUGCCCUUCCCAGCUCCUGCAGUCACAGGCAAGAAGCCUCCUCAUCACUCAGAUCCAAACACCUCGGAAGCAAAUCAACCUUUUCAGUCCUCACGCUGCCUCGUGGUUGGCCCCGCCCGGCAUAUCCAGGAGCCUCUCCGAGCAGCCCUGGGCUCAGGCAGUGUAGAACCAUGAUCCACCAGGCAUAUUUCUGGGAGGGCGGGCUAGAGCCAGACUGCUGAAUGCUACCGCCAUGAAUACAAGAUAUUCCCUCAGCCUUCCCCUGUGUGACAGUGCAGCUAAGAAGGCUGUCACCGGCACUGGUGCCUUGGUGUGGGACUCUCCAGCCUGCAGAAACGUGAAGCAUAAGUCUUUGUUCUUGAGAAUCACCCAGGCUUACCGUUCUGGUACAGCAGCACAGACAAAGAAGGAAACCUGGGCAGAAGGUCCCAAGGCAGAAGUUCCUCUCGGGCCUCUCACUGCUGGCUCUGUAUUUAUAUCUGUCUUCCUGUGCUGCGUUCUGGAUAAUCUCUUCAGGUCUAUCUUCCACUCCAUGAAUCCUCUUUUCAACCACGUUUACCAUUAUGUUCGGCUGUCCGCUGAGUUUUAUAUCUACAGUUACUGUAUUUUUCAGUACCAGAAGUUCCAUUUUAAUUUUCCUCAGCAUAAUUAUAUUUAUUCUCCAAAAGUCUUACAGUCUGUCCGUAAGUUUGUUUUCCCAGCUAGAUAUUACCAAGAACACCACCCUUGUCUCCUGGUAUCACCGGACAGUGAUGUAAAACCACUGCCGAACCCUUUCCGCCGGCUGGGCUGCCCUCUGGCUGACUCUGUAAGGUAGGCAGGCAACAGGUCGGUGCCGUAGUUUACAAAACACUCCUGUAGAAAAAAGUGUAAACAUAACCCACUCUGCCAAAGGAUUCCUGAAUACACACACACAAGCAAAAA